rnacentral:tRNA from 1 species
GCCCUCAUCGAUUAGUUGGUCCAAAAUCAAUCGUCUCAUAAUCGGUAGCCAGCAGUUCGAAUCUGCUUGAGGGCA